rnacentral:rRNA from 1 species
UGGGGAAUUUUGCACAAUGGGGGAAACCCUGAUGCAGCGACGCCGCGUGAUUUAGAAGGCCUUCGGGUUGUAAAAAUCUUUUCUAUGGGAAGAAAAUGACAGUACCAUAGGAAUAAGGACCGGCUAAUUACGUGCCAGCAGCCGCGGUAAUACGUAAGGUCCGAGCGUUGUCCGGAAUCAUUGGGCGUAAGGGUACGUAGGCGGGUAAGCAAGUUAGAAGUGAAAUCCUAUAGCUCAACUAUAGUAAGCUUUUAAAACUGCUCAUCUUGAGGUAUGGAAGGGAAAGUGGAAUUCCUAGUGUAGCGGUGAAAUGCGCAGAUAUUAGGAGGAAUACCGGUGGCGAAGGCGACUUUCUGGCCAUAACCUGACGCUGAGGUACGAAAGCGUGGGUAGCAAACAGG